ACCAGAGUCUCGGAUGGCAACCUCACAGUGCCAUCGAGAGCGUGUUAUGUAAAUUCAGUAACCCUCCUAUGGCGUAAAUGAUGCGCCACUAGCGAAAGAGAAAAGCCAAAGGGCGUAGUCAUAGGGUAUGACGGAUGAGAAGUCCAAUCUUCAUGUUGGCUUGCUACCAUAGCAUUCCAUCGUGAAUUUAACGAGUGGUUACAUCAACC
ncrna:unclassified sequences RT-7 RNA